rnacentral:rRNA from 1 species
UGGGGAAUAUUGCGCAAUGGGCGAAAGCCUGACGCAGCAACGCCGCGUGAGUGAUGAAGGCCUUCGGGUCGUAAAGCUCUGUCGGAGGGAACGAAUGCUCCUGAAGUUAACAGCCUCAGGAGGUGACGGUACCCUCAAAGGAAGCACCGGCUAACUCCGUGCCAGCAGCCGCGGUAAUACGGAGGGUGCGAGCGUUAAUCGGAAUUACUGGGCGUAAAGCGCGCGUAGGCGGCUUUGUAAGUCGGAUGUGAAAGCCCCGGGCUUAACCUGGGAAUUGCAUUCGAUACUGCAUAGCUAGAGUAUGGUAGAGGGUAGCGGAAUUCCGGGUGUAGCGGUGAAAUGCGUAGAUAUCCGGAGGAACACCAGUGGCGAAGGCGGCUACCUGGACCAAUACUGACGCUGAGGCGCGAAAGCGUGGGGAGCAAACAGGAUUAGAUACCCCCGUAGUCCCUGAGCGGGCUGGCAAGGCGCAU